rnacentral:rRNA from 1 species
CUACGGGCCGCACCAGUGGGGAAUUUUGCGCAAUGGGCGAAAGCCUGACGCAGCAACGCCGCGUAAGGGAUGAAGGUUCUCGGAUCGUAAACCUCUUUCAGACGGGAAGAACACAAUGACGGUACCGUCAGAAGAAGCCCCGGCUAACUCCGUGCCAGCAGCCGCGGUAAUACGGAGGGGGCAAGCGUUGUUCGGAAUCAUUGGGCGUAAAGCGUAUGUAGGCGGCCAGAUAAGUCAGACGUGUAAGCCCACGGCUCAACCGUGGAAUUGCGUUUGAAACUGUCUGGCUUGAGUACGGGGAGGAAAGCGGAAUUCCCAGUGUAGCGGUGAAAUGCAUUGAUAUUGGGAAGAACAUCGGUGGCGAAGGCGGCUUUCUGGCCCGAUACUGACGCUGAGAUACGAAAGCCAGGGGAGCAAACGGGAUUAGAUACCCUGGUAGUC